rnacentral:rRNA from 1 species
GCUUACGGCCACACCGGCCUGAGUACGCCUGAUCUCGUCCGAUCUCGGAAGCUAAGCAAGGGUCGGGCCUGUUAGUACUGGAUGGGAGACCGCCUGGGAAUACCAGGUGCCUGUAAGCU